UACGUAGGGUGCGAGCGUUAAUCGGAAUUACUGGGCGUAAAGCGCGCGCAGGCGGUCUUCCAAGUCAGUGGUGAAAGCCCGGAGCUCAACUCCGGAACUGCCAUUGAAACUGUAAGACUUGAGGACGAGAGAGGUGAGUGGAAUUCCCAGUGUAGAGGUGAAAUUCGUAGAUAUUGGGAAGAACACCAGUGGCGAAGGCGGCUCACUGGCUCGUAUCUGACGCUCAGGCGCGACAGCGUGGGGAUCAAACAGG
rnacentral:rRNA from 1 species